rnacentral:rRNA from 1 species
UACGUAGGGUCCGAGCGUUGUCCGGAAUUACUGGGCGUAAAGAGCUCGUAGGUGGUUUGUCGCGUUGUCCGUGAAAACUCACAGCUCAACUGUGGGCGUGCGGGCGAUACGGGCAGACUGGAGUACUGCAGGGGAGACUGGAAUUCCUGGUGUAGCGGUGGAAUGCGCAGAUAUCAGGAGGAACACCAGUGGCGAAGGCGGUUGCCUGGAGCUUUGCUGACGCUGAGGCGCGAAAGCGUGGGGAGCGAUCCGG